GUCACGGGCCGGCGCGCGGUCCGGGUCGGUUGGGUCCGAGUGCGACAGGCAGCGCCGGGAGCAGCGACUCGACUGUGGCCUGCGCUGAAGCGAAAGAAGAAAACAUCACUGUUGCUGAUGCAGGUGUUGGAAACCCUGAAGUAUUUCUCAAGUUCCCUAUGGCAUCUCUUCACCAUGCUGCGACUGCUGGAGCCAGGGACCUGGAUGUCCCAUGGUGCCAUUCAUUGUUCUUAAGACGCAUGGCAUCGGAGUGAGGCUCAUUGUGCUGUACUUUGUCAUUGCCUUUACAUUAGUGGAUUUACAACCUGUGCUCCUGCCAUCACUAAAGGCUGGGCUGCUCUCAGAGGGGUUGGCGGCAUAGCUGUCGGUUAGGGGUGUGAUUUUUUUUGCUGACACAACUGUGCUAAUAAAAGUUCUAGCAUAAGUCCA